rnacentral:antisense_RNA from 1 species
UUUUAUGGGUGGGCCGUGGCGGGGAGGCCUUCGGGCCUGCCGGUUUUGGCUUUCACGCCGGUCUGCCAACCCUGUCAUGCGCCCGCCCACCCUC